rnacentral:rRNA from 1 species
UACAGAGGUGGCAAGCGUUGUUCGGAAUUACUGGGCGUAAAGGGCGCGUAGGCGGCUAUCUAAGUCAGACGUGAAAUCCCCCGGCUUAACCUGGGAACUGCGUCUGAUACUGGACGGCUCGAGUAUGGGAGAGGGAUGUAGAAUUCCAGGUGUAGCGGUGAAAUGCGUAGAUAUCUGGAGGAAUACCGGUGGCGAAGGCGGCAUCCUGGACCAUUUACUGACGCUGAGGCGCGAAAGCUAGGGGAGCAAACGGG